UACGGAGGGUGCGAGCGUUAAUCGGAAUUACUGGGCGUAAAGCGUACGUAGGCGGCAAAUCAAGUUGGGUGUGAAAUCCCGAGGCUUAACCUCGGAACUGCAUUCAAAACUGGUUCGCUUGAGUAUGGUAGAGGAGAGGGGAAUUCCCGGUGUAGCGGUGAAAUGCGUUGAUAUCGGGAGGAACAUCAGUGGCGAAGGCGCCUCUCUGGACCAAUACUGACGCUGAGGUACGAAAGCGUGGGGAGCAAACAGG
rnacentral:rRNA from 1 species